UAGCAAUUCCCCUCCAAUCACGAGACAAGACUACGUGUUGAGGAUCAAGUUGGAACUCAAGGUUUAAUGGGGCACACUGGCCUUUUACACAAGUUUUACAACAAAGGUGACGACCAGGUGGACCUAGUUGGGCACCGAGACACAAGAUUAACAAGCCAAUAGAAACAGUAACAAUGAACAACACUCCCACAUACAUUACACAAUACCUCCCCUCUGCCUGUGAUACAAUUAAAGUAGAUAAUACAAUAACCCAAUUAACCACAAUCAGAAAAACACUA